rnacentral:rRNA from 1 species
CACGCAGGCGGUCUGUCAAGUCGGAUGUGAAAUCCCCGGGCUCAACCUGGGAACUGCAUUCGAAACUGGCAGGCUAGAGUCUUGUAGAGGGGGGUAGAGUUCCAGGUGUAGCGGUGAAAUGCGUAGAGAUCUGGAGGAAUACCGGUGGCGAAGGCGGCCCCUGGACAAAGACUGACGCUCAGGUGCGAAAGCGUGGGGAAGCAAACA